AGACCCGAAACCCGGUGAUCUAGCCAUGGGCAGGUUGAAGGUUGGGUAACACUAACUGGAGGACCGAACCGACUAAUGUUGAAAAAUUAGCGGAUGACCUGUGGCUGGGGGUGAAAGGCCAAUCAAACCGGGAGAUAGCUGGUUCUCCCCGAAAGCUAUUUAGGUAGCGCCUCGUGAAUUCAUCUCCGGGGGUAGAGCACUGUUUCGGCUAGGGGGCCAUCCCGGCUUACCAACCCGAUGCAAACUGCGAAUACCGGAGAAUGUUAUCACGGGAGACACACGGCGGGUGCUAACGUCCGUCGUGAAGAGGGAAACAACCCAGACCGCCAGCUAAGGUCCCAAAGUCAUGGUUAAGUGGGAAACGAUGUGGGAAGGCCCAGACAGCCAGGAUGUUGGCUUAGAAGCAGCCAUCAUUUAAAGAAAGCGUAAUAGCUCACUGGUCGAGUCGGCCUGCGCGGAAGAUGUAACGGGGCUAAACCAUGCACCGAAGCUGCGGCAGCGACACUCAGGU
rnacentral:rRNA from 2 species